rnacentral:rRNA from 1 species
UACGGGGGGGGCAAGCGUUGUUCGGAAUUACUGGGCGUAAAGGGCGCGUAGGCGGUGCCACAAGUCGGAUGUGAAAUCCCCAGGCUUAACCUGGGAACUGCAUCCGAUACUGGAUGGCUUGAAUUCGGGAGAGGGAUGCAGAAUUCCAGGUGUAGCGGUGAAAUGCGUAGAUAUCUGGAGGAAUACCGGUGGCGAAGGCGGCAUCCUGGACCGACAUUGACGCUGAACGGCGAAAGCUAGGAGAGCAAACGAG